ACGAACGCUGGCGGCGUGCUUAACCCAUGCAAGUCGAACGGAAAGGCUUCUUUCGGGGGGUACUCGAGUGGCGAACGGGUGAGUAACACGUGAGUAACCUGCCCUUGACUUUGGGAUAACUUCAGGAAACUGGGGCUAAUACCGGAUAGGAGCUCCUGCUGCAUGGUGGGGGUUGGAAAGUUUCGGCGGUUGGGGAUGGACUCGCGGCUUAUCAGCUUGUUGGUGGGGUAGUGGCUUACCAAGGCUUUGACGGGUAGCCGGCCUGAGAGGGUGACCGGCCACAUUGGGACUGAGAUACGGCCCAGACUCCUACGGGAGGCAGCAGUGGGGAAUAUUGCACAAUGGGUGGAAGCCUGAUGCAGCAACGCCGUGUGCGGGAUGACGGCCUUCGGGUUGUAAACCGCUUUCGCUCAUGACGAAGCUUUGUGUGACGGUAGUGGGUAAAGAAGCACCGGCUAACUACGUG
rnacentral:rRNA from 1 species